UUAGAGUUUGUUUCUGGCUCAGGAUGAACGCUGGCGGCGUGCUUAACACAUGCAAGUCGAACGAACCUUCGGGUUAGUGGCGGACGGGUGAGUAACGCGUGGGAAUCUGCCCUCAGGAGGGGGAUAACGGUUGGAAACGACCGCUAAUACCCCAUAUGCCGAGAGGUGAAACGAAAUUCGCCUGAGGAUGAGCCCGCGUCUGAUUAGCUAGUUGGUGGGGUAAAGGCCUACCAAGGCAUCGAUCAGUAGCUGGUCUGAGAGGAUGAUCAGCCACACUGGGACUGAGACACGGCCCAGACUCCUACGGGAGGCAGCAGUGGGGAAUUUUCCGCAAUGGGCGCAAGCCUGACGGAGCAACGCCGCGUGAGGGAUGAAGGCCUCUGGGCUGUAAACCUCUUUUCUCAAGGAAGAAGAACUGACGGUACUUGAGGAAUAAGCCACGGCUAAUUCCGUGCCAGCAGCCGCGGUAAUACGGGAGUGGCAAGCGUUAUCCGGAAUUAUUGGGCGUAAAGCGUCCGCAGGCGGCCUUGAAAGUCUGUCGUUAAAGCGUGGAGCUUAACUCCAUUUCGGCGGUGGAAACUACAAGGCUUGAGUGUGGUAGGGGCAGAGGGAAUUCCCGGUGUAGCGGUGAAAUGCGUAGAUAUCGGGAAGAACACCAGUGGCGAAGGCGCUCUGCUGGGCCAUAACUGACGCUCAUGGACGAAAGCUAGGGGAGCGAAAGAGAUUAGAUACCCCUGUAGUCCUAGCCGUAAACGAGGAACACCAGGUGUCGGGGGGAAUGAACCCCCUCCGUGUGGUAGCUAACGCGGUAAGUGUUCCGCCUGGGGAGUACGCACGCAAAAGUGAAACUCAAAAGAAUUGACGGGGGCCCGCACAACCGGUGGAGUAUGUGGUUUAAUUCGAUGCAACGCGAAGAACCUUACCAGGGUUUGACAUCCUGCGAAUCCCUUGGAAACUUGGGAGUGCCUUCGGGAGCGCAGAGACAGGUGGUGCAUGGCUGUCGUCAGCUCGUGUCGUGAGAUGUUGGGUUAAGUCCCGCAACGAGCGCAACCCACGUCUUUAGUUGCCAGCAUUUAGUUGGGCACUCUAGAGAGACCGCCGGUGAUAAACCGGAGGAAGGUGUGGAUGACGUCAAGUCAUCAUGCCCCUUACAUCCUGGGCUACACACGUACUACAAUGCUACGGACGAAGGGUUGCAAACUCGCGAGAGCUAGCUAAUCCCAUAAACCGUGGCUCAGUUCAGAUCGUAGGCUGCAACUCGCCUACGUGAAGGAGGAAUCGCUAGUAAUCGCAGGUCAGCAUACUGCGGUGAAUA
rnacentral:rRNA from 1 species